UACGGAGGGAGCUAGCGUUGUUCGGAAUUACUGGGCGUAAAGCGCACGUAGGCGGCGAUUCAAGUCAGAGGUGAAAGCCCGGGGCUCAACCCCGGAACUGCCUUCGAUACUGGGUAUCUUGAGUUCGGAAGAGGUGAGUGGAAUUGCGAGUGUAGAGGUGAAAUUCGUAGAUAUUCGGAAGAACACCAGUGGCGAAGGCGGCUGACUGGACAUGUAUUGACGCUGAGGUGCGAAAGCGUGGGGAGCGAACAGG
rnacentral:rRNA from 1 species